GACGAACGCUGGCGGCGUGCUUAACACAUGCAAGUCGAACGGAAAGGCCCUGCUUUUGUGGGGUUCUCGAUUGGCGAACGGGUGAGUAACACGCGAGUAACAUGUCCUUGACUUUGGGAUAACUUUAGGAAACUGGGGCUAAUACCGGAUAGGAGCUACUGCUCCACGGGGGGGGAUGGUAAGAUUCGGCGGUUGGGGAUGGUAUCGCGGCAUAUCAGCUUGUUUGGGGGGUAGUGGAUGACCAGGGCUUUGAAGGGUAGCCGGCCUGAGAGGGUGACCGGGCACAUUGGGACUGCGGGAGGGCCCAGUCUGCUACGGGAGGCAGCGGGGGGGAGUAUGGCGCAGUGGGCGGGCGCGUGAGACGGCAAUGCCGCGUUCGGGAUGCCGGCCUUCGGGUUGUAAACCGCUUUCGCAUGUGACGAAGCGUGAGUGACGGUAAUGGGUAAAGAAGCACCGGCUAACUACGUG
rnacentral:rRNA from 1 species